rnacentral:rRNA from 1 species
GCAGCAGCCGCGGUAAUACGUAGGUGGCAAGCGUUGUCCGGAAUUAUUGGGCGUAAAGGGCUCGCAGGCGGUUUCUUAAGUCUGAUGUGAAAGCCCCCGGCUCAACCGGGGAGGGUCAUUGGAAACUGGGAAACUUGAGUGCAGAAGAGGAGAGUGGAAUUCCACGUGUAGCGGUGAAAUGCGUAGAGAUGUGGAGGAACACCAGUGGCGAAGGCGACUCUCUGGUCUGUAACUGACGCUGAGGAGCGAAAGCGUGGGGAGCGAACAGGAUUAGAUACCCGUGUAGUCCCUGUCUCUUAUAC